UUUCCCAUUUUUUUCACACGAAUCUUCCGCGAAACAAAAGAAAAAAGAAAACUCUGUUUUCUUUUCCUCCUUCCGUUCAGCUUCUCUCUUCUUCACUAUUAACUUUCGGCUAGGGUUCUAGCCAUUUCGAUCUAUCUAAUCCCUUUCCGCUCUAUUUUCCUCUCGCGUUUUCUUUUCUUCUUUGGGUUAGGGUUCUUCUGUUUCAUUGUACAGGGAAGCAUAUUCUUCUGUGUUGAUUUUAGGGUUUUUUUACGGUUUGAUAUUAUGAUUUCCAUUGAAGGGAGGUAUAUUCAUGAAACAGAAAUUGAGGUUUGCUUAUUUGGAUGUUUCGAUUUUGCAGGGUAGGGUUUAUUGAGGUUUCGCUUUUCACUUCAAUCAAAAUCACGGGCUUCCGCUGGAUUUUGUAUAAGGCUUCUGAUAGGAAUUCAAAUUUUGCAAACAUGUCAAUUGUUUGGUACAGAUAACUUCAACACCUUAUGCUCUAUUCGAUUUAGGAACUUCAUGUUUGUGUGAUUCGAUAGGUUACUUAAAUCCUUGAUUGAUUUUGUUCUAAAUACCUGACCCACUGAACUAUCAAGCACAAUUGGUAAAAGAAAUGAGAUCUAGAUAGAUAAGUAUAUGUUAGGCCUAAUAAGCUAUACUAUGAGAAACUCAUAUGUAAAAGAUUUAGAUGUGGCCCUACAAGCAAAAUUGCCCCACAUCACAUAACUCCUGGAUUAGUUACAAUAGAGCCUCAAACCAUUGGGUAGAGGGGACUAAUAUUAUCCAUUUGUUUUGAUUCAUAUAAGUGAUUACCACCUGCUGUUUCAUACAAAACUGAAAGCCCUAAUCACCUUUCUUUUUUUUGCAUUAUGGAAUACAAAGUUCCAGAGAGAUGAAUUGUAUUCUAAAGUCUAUAAGAAUUUUUAAAUCAAUAUAUAUAUAUAUCUCUUUUACAGUGUUUUCCUUUAAUGUUUAACCAGAAAUUUGUAGAAGCUUCGAAGAUAGUUUGACCCUGGCAGUAACUGUUUUGCUGAAUGUAUAGUCAUUUGUUUGAAUAAUAACUGAUUUGAAGUGAUUUGGAGGUUCAGCAGGCUCGGUACCAGUGGUCUUACUGCCCUUAUUACUGGAAAUAAACAUCUCUCUCUUUUAGUGCCCGAGUGUUUGGUUUGUGAAUACCUGAUGCUCAUGGAAGGUUUCGCCUCGCCUUAUACCCUACCCCUAGUUUCCGUUUCUCUAUAUCUAUCUCUCUGUUAGAUUGGUGAUACCAUAGAUUUCAUUAUAUCUCUUUUACUGUUUUAUCGAUUUUUGCUGAAAAUGGAUAAAUAACUAAGCUAUUGAGAAACCCUACUAGCCAUCGGAGACACAUACACGUGAAUCUACUCUUAUUCAAAUUGCAAUGGAAAAAGCUUCAAUCUUAUUUUGCCAGACAAAUUCAGCUGAAAAAUCAAAAGUUUCCCAGAAUAUUGGGUUUCUUCCACAUUUCACCAAAGGUGCUUAGGCAUAGAGGAGGUGGCAGUGGCAGAGGCGGUGGAAAGAAAAAGAACCCUCCAAAAAGAGGUUAAGAAGUUAUUUGAUCAUUUUGAAGAGCUUGCAGACGCGGCAUCCACAAAUGAUAACAAGUGCAAUGAGAAAAAAGAAAUGAAUUGUUGAAUAGUUGAUUGUAAUAAGUAAAGAGGAACCCGAUCACUUUAUUAGUUAAUGCAAUGAUGACUAUGGUAAUGAUUUAUGUGUCAAUUUGUGAGUAUCCUUGAUUUCUUUUUUUAAGUUGAAUGUCAUGAAUAUAUUCAGGCGGUGGCAGUGGCAGUGGCAGUGGCAGAGGCGGUGGAAAGAAUUGGCAACUAAUUUGUGAGUAUCCUUGAUUUCUUUUUUUAAAAAUGGCUUAAUGAAUGGGUGAAGUUCACUUCUGCUUGAGCUUGCUGGCUGAAGUCUACUCGUCUGGAAAUGCACAUCUUAGAGUGUAAACACUUUUGCUCUAAAUUUAAAAGUCCUAUAAUUUGUCUGUGUUUUUAAUUCAAUAACUACGAGACGUGUUUGAUGAAUCUUAUCCAGGGUAAUUACCCUAUGCGGAAUAAUUUCACUAAGGCGGAACUUCCUCCGCGGAAGGACAUGAUAACUAAUAUCCUUCAUGAAUCAACAUGAAAUCAUUACCUAAUGCCAACGCUUCUUGGGGGCAAGGCUCUAGGUGAUACCCAUUGCUUAAGAUCAGGCUCGAUGAUGGCUCAAGGAAACAAGGUACAUGCAUAGCAUAUCAAUGAAUUUUGGCAAUACUCUUAAAUAGAUUCUUUUAUACAUUUGUGAGAAUCACUAAGUAAAAUGCUAGCUGUUGAAAACCUCAUCCUCUGGUCUUGCUUCCCAUCUACUGCUCCCUGAUCUCUUUUGCAUACUAUUAUUUGUUUUUGCGUUGCCAUGUAUUUAUAACUACAAUAUCUCAUGUAAAAUGUAACUUGGGUUUCUUUUGAUGGUGCGAAAGUUUAAUGCUGCGAAAAACCAAAAGCUGAGAACAGAUGUGCGGAUAUGGACAUCAGAUGUACAGAACAUCUCCCAUGCUUGAUAUUUGGAGAAACACAUUGGAAUGAAAAAACACAGUGAAUGGAGGCGAGGUGAAGCCGAAGAUAGGGGCGAAGCCGUCCAACACAAAAUCAAAAAGCAUCGGGGCGAGGCAAAGCGCCGAAGAUAGGGGCGAAGCCGUCCAACACAAAAUCAAAAAGCAUCGGGGCGAGGCAAAGCCGAGCCACACCUAAUCAAAAACAUGCCCCGACAGGACGGGACGAAGCCCCACGACACCUAAUAAAGAUUGCACGAUGGAGCGAGGCGAAGCCAUAUCACACCAAAUGAAUAGUGAUGGUUUUCGGGUCUGCCCGGUGCGUAGCACGGGCAUAAAAUCUAGUAUUUAUAUAGGGGAUGAACAACACCAAAAGUAGGAGGGCGUAAAGCCAAAAACUGUUUCAUUUCGUUGCCGAUCAAUGCAAUUGAAGCUCAGCCUUGAACUCACACACAGACUAUUUUUUUCUUUGCAAUUAAUGGCAUUGAAUUCACACACCAACUGUUUCAUUUCGUUAUACCCUUACGCAUGAAGAAUCUGUCCAAACGAUCCAUCAUAUUCCUAGGUCAAUGGAAUUAAACAGUCAAGAAUCUCUGAUCGACCCGGUAAAAUCCCAGGCAUCUUAAAUUAGGGUUCUUAUUAUUUUCUUU